AAGUUCAUAUAGUUGCCAAUAUAAAUUCGGGAGAUAUGGUCCGGACGUUUCUACCGCAGUGCCGUAAAAACUGCGACUAUUGGGAGA
rnacentral:ncRNA from 1 species